AUUGAACGCUGGCGGCAGGCCUAACACAUGCAAGUCGAACGAGUGGCGGACGGGUGAGUAAUGUCUGGGAAACUGCCCGAUGGAGGGGGAUAACUACUGGAAACGGUAGCUAAUACCGCAUACCAUCGGAUGUGCCCAGAUGGGAUUAGCUAGUAGGUGGGGUAACGGCUCACCUAGGCGACGAUCCCUAGCUGGGCUGAGAGGAUGACCAGCCAAACUGGAACUGCGACACUGUCCACACUCCUACGGGUGGCAGCAGUGGGGAAUAGUGGACAAGUGGCGCUAGCCUGAUGCAGCGAUGCCGCGUGUAUGAAGAGGGCCUUCGUGUUGUAAAUUACUUUCAGCGAGGAGGCGUUGCUCGCAGAAGGAGCUCCGGCUAACUCCGUACCAGCCGCCGCGGUAAUAC
rnacentral:rRNA from 1 species